rnacentral:rRNA from 1 species
AAUGGGUCAGCGACUUAUAUUCUGUAGCAAGGUUAACCGAAUAGGGGAGCCGAAGGGAAACCGAGUCUUAACUGGGCGUUAAGUUGCAGGGUAUAGACCCGAAACCCGGUGAUCUAGCCAUGGGCAGGUUGAAGGUUGGGUAACACUAACUGGAGGACCGAACCGACUAAUGUUGAAAAAUUAGCGGAUGACUUGUGGCUGGGGGUGAAAGGCCAAUCAAACCGGGAGAUAGCUGGUUCUCCCCGAAAGCUAUUUAGGUAGCGCCUCGUGAAUUCAUCUCCGGGGGUAGAGCACUGUUUCGGCAAGGGGGUCAUCCCGACUUACCAACCCGAUGCAAACUGCGAAUA